GGUUACUUGAACUGCUGACUCCAAACCCGCUCCCACUUAGAAUUAGGGUUUAUUUACAAAUAACAGUACACCGAAUCCUAUCGCAUGCUCUGCAUUCCAUAACACUGAAAAGGAUAGGAUUUUUCUUGCAGCGACGCCAUGAGAGCCAAGUGGAAGAAGAAGCGGAUGAGGAGGUUGAAGAGAAAGCGCAGAAAGAUGAGGCAGAGAUCUAAGUAGCUGCUGUUACCGAUCACUCCAACCUCUUCUUCAAUUGAUAUAUUUCCCCUUUGAUUUUAGCCCAUCUUUUACUUUUCUCGACUUUGUUUGAGCAUUGCAUUCCAAGUUGUAAUCGUACCUUUUUCUGUGUACAUUUUGCUUGAUAUCAGUGAAGCUACUAUUUUCAGUUGGUUUAA